rnacentral:lncRNA from 10 species
UGUGGAGGCCAGCAAGUCCACACUUUGUAGGGUGGAUGGCAGGCUGGAGACCCAGGGAAGAGUGGAUGUUGCAGCUUGAGUUUGAAGGCAGACUGCUGGAAGAAUUCCCUCAUCUUUGGGAAGGGCCCUUCAUGGCUGGUUAGAGGAAAAUUAUCCAAAGCUGCGACCUAACUGGUAAAAAAUGGCUGCAUAUGUAGGAGUCACCUUGUCUGAAUCACAAGGCAUGGGAGUAAAUGAAUCAGGACACAGGGAGAAGAAACAGCAACUGACUUUGCCGGCUGUUCACUCACAUCAUCUCAUUUAAUCUGCACAGCUGCCAAAUCAGCUGGACUCCAAAGCCAGAUUGUGCACAUCUUAAAGCUUCUCAUCAGAUCCUGAAGCCCAGCAUAUUAAAGCAUGCAAAACUAAAGAAGGAAGGCCAGAAGAGGAGCUGACACAUCAUAG